ACGCUCUUGAUGUGCCAGCAUGCCGGCCUGAGUUCAAUCCCCAGAAUCAAGGUAAAAAAUCAAACAUGGCUUUCCACGCUUGUAACCCUGGUGCCGAUGGGAACAGGGAGCCAAGAUAGGAGCAUCAGCGAAGUUUACUGCCUGGCCAGUCUAGCCAAUAUGGUAGCCCCCAGGUUCAGUUAGAGACACUGCCUAUGAAUACAUACACAUACAUACAUACAUACAUACAUACAUACAUACAUUCAUUCAUACAUACAUGCAUACAUUCUGCAGACCCAUACAUAGACCCAUGCAAAGCCCUCAAUAUAGAAGAUACCUUUCUCCCUUUCAAGUGUCUACUUUGCCCUGUUGAUGGCCACACAGAAUCUCUCGUGUGCCACUGCACCUGCUGGUUCACACCGAAGAUCAUCACUCUUUUGAGUUCCCCGUGCACACAGCACUUUCCUUUAGGUACCCAACCAAGCACCCGGAGGAAUUACAAACUCCCAUGAGAACAGAAAAUAUUGCCUUCAGGUGUCAGGGUAAGGACUACUACUAAAUCUACCCCAAACCACCCCACUCAGGGUUUACGCAGGGAAGAACCCGUGCGUCUGGGUUCUCCAUUACCCCUGUGUCAGUUACUCACUCUGGCCUCUAGGGGGCUCCCCAGGAACACGGACAAGGAGCCAUCGUCUCCGUUCUUUCAUCCAGGAUUCUAAAUGUGAACUAAUGGAUGCAGUUUGGUAACCCACAAAAGUAACGCCACACGUUCUGGAGGAGAAGACGUAUC
rnacentral:lncRNA from 1 species